ensembl:lncRNA
CAAACAUAUUCCUGCUAUGCCAUUGCUUAUGGUUAUUCUAUUAACAAUACCUGCAAAUCUUUUAGAAUGUUACUGCAUUGUUUAGCCAUUCUGCCAUUUGUCAUCGUGUUGUUUGUGUGACUUUAAUGUUGUAUUUGUUUAAAAAUGUAUCUGUUUUAUUCCAAAACCAGUCAGUUACUGAUAUAGACUAAGUCCGCAAAGCCCAACGUGCAGAACAAUGGAAGAAUUCAAAUAUGACAUUGUUUUAAGCACUAGCCACAUAGUUUUUUUUAAACAGUAGCCCAGUUCGUAGUAUCCUGAAACUGAUAGUGCCUAUGAGCUACAGUUGGGAUUGUGUUUACUGUGCUGAUUAAAAUACAAAAUGGAGGAGUAGCGGAUGGCAAUUAAUAUUAUGGUGAAACUGAGCAAUAACACAUGAGGCCUCCGCACAGAAUACAGGGCCCAUCAUCUUUGCCCCAAAUAUGCAGGUUUAUAUAUUUUUUUUUUACAAAAGUUAAAAUAUCUAGUUUUAUAGUUUUGUUCCACAAAAGGGAAGGUUCCAUUGGAGAUUAUGGCGUGGUAAAAUAAAUAAGACACAUUGGAUGCAUUAUGUAACUCUGUGUCUCAUGCUUGAGUCCCAAAUCGUCCGUUCCUCUUAUCCAGAGCCCGAGUCAACAGCAGUGCUCCACGCAGGUGAGGGCGUCAUGUGGGAUGCCUCCAAUGUGAUUCACAAUCUGCGAAUACUGGAGCAGAACAGAUAAAGAUUACUGACAGAACAGAAGGAAGUCAGAGGCUUACAGCAUCACACUGCUGAUUUCUGCUUUCAAUACCAGGUUGAGUGAUUGACAGCUACUGGGAUCUUCAAGAAAAUGGAACAGCUGGUUUCUAUUUUCUGUGCUGUUUUGCUAUAUUUGUUGAUCACACAUUUUCCGUUCAACUGAUCUGCUAAAGCUCACAUAUGGGUUGAUGCUUGUGUAUCUUUGCUGGUAAUAAAAACCUUGUAUUCCGAAACGUUUUGAUGGAAUGAUGAAAAUCUUUACAGCUCUGGAAAAUUAAAUGCAAAUCCAAGUGGAUUGUGCUUUUUCUGUAUCACUGUAAAUGUAAUGAGCCAACAGUCAUCACUGAAUAUGUUUUCAUGUCCACUAAUUAUCAGAUAUUAAAUUGAUUAUGAC